rnacentral:rRNA from 1 species
AUGAGGCAAGGCGCACAACCGGCUCACCGCAAGUACACCUACGCCGCCGCCUCCCCGGGGGGUUGCAAGGUGAAGUGGACGGCCGAGGAGAAGCCGCACGGGGCUGGGCUCUCAAGUGGGAGGCGGAGCUCGCCUCCCCCCAAUGACGUCAGCUUUGAUCACAAGUGGAAGUUGGAGCCCAAGUCCAAGCCCGGUGCCGCCAGCAAGGCCAAGACCAAGCUCGAGGAAGCCAGCGAGGAUGACAAGAAUAAGCCGGCGAUGAAGUGCACGCACAUCGAGGAGGUCCUCGCCGGUUGCGACGCCAUCCGCAAGGAUGAUGACUAUCUAAUGGUGAUUCCCUAUUCCCACAUUUUUUGCCCUCAUGUUGCAAGCUCUAAAGCUGCCCCUGCAAUUUACCAUCACAAGACAUGUCUGGACAGCAAGUCUCCUGUGACAAUUACUCUUAAUUCGUCGUUAUAA